CCCUAUCCUUCGUUCCAUCCACUUAGAAGACGGCCCACCUCCUGCUGCCGGCUUGGCAGUGUUGGGCGGAUUCUGUUUUGAAACUGCGUCUAAAGUUACAGGGAACAAGAGCUCCUUGCAAGAAAAAGAGAAUGAGAAGAAAUUAAGUGCACCCGGCCACCUACACCCAGGAGAGGCCUCAAUAUUUGUACUUAGUAGGAGCAUCUGGAUUCCAGGGACCUGAAGCACACUCCAGGGCAUGCUAGUGAGCAUGCGCGUUUCUCCCUGGCCCCGCAAUACCGUUUUAAAAGGUGAGGCAGAAUUCGGGUUUAUCACCAGCAGUUAUAAAAUGGAGCGCAGUCCCACUUUUCCUUGGCAUCGUCUUCCCCAGCACCCUUACUACAAGAUCUUU